GUGGCAACCCUCAGUACCACCAGCAACCUUUUGUGAAAGUGAGUGAAACACCCCUUUUCGGUGCCAGUGUCAGCUCCUUCAGGCAUUUACGAGGAGUGUCAUGUGAGAGUGGGAUCAUUCCUGAACAGUAUAUUGCAGACGAAAAUGUAAUCAAACCGGGCUACGAUUUUGAACGGACCUCCUCUUGCUUUCGUGCUCACAACCAAUUAAACAAACAAACAAACAAUUCUGCACACCCACACUACCUGUUGCAUCUCUGAGAAAAAAAUAUAUGUAAUUAACAAAACGAAUUAUACAAAAACACCAAACCAGUGUAUCAUACCUAUUGCAUAUACAGAAAUAGAUACAGAAAGCUUUAUAAUUUCAAAGAUCCAGAACAUUUUUUAUUAGCUAAAAAUUUGGAUAUUUGAAGAAGAAAAUAUUCCUUUUUAUCUUUCGUUUCGGAGGAAAAACAGGUGGUUGGUUAAUCGUCCGGCCAUCACGUCGUUACGGUCGCUAAUCCUGAUUGGACGCAGGUUAUCAUCGACCUUAUAAGCAUGGGCGGCCUGUGGUGGGUGACGGUGUUGGCCGUUGUGGGCGUGGUGGUGCCGCCCGCGAUGCCUUGCUCUUGCCACAUACGCCACCCACAGCAACAUGUCUGCGAGGCGGAUUUUGGUGAGUGUUGUUGCUAUUUUUGUUGUUGGUAUUGUUUGUUGUUAUUUGUUUUUGUUGUGUUAUUGUGGUAUUAUUGUUAGUGUUACGUAUUGGUAUAUAUCGUUAUUAUAUUAUCGUUAUAACUGGUGUUGCGUAUUACUCUGUAUCAUUAUUAUAUUAUCAUAUUACUAUUACUAUUAACAUUGUCGUUAGAAUUACUAUUAUUGUUAUUAGUUUUAUUACCGUUACUUUUCCUCUUGUGAAACGUAGAGGGGAAAUAGGGAAUAAGGAAGAGGGGAAACACGGGACAAGAAAACAAAAGGAAGGAGAACAAGGGGACAGGAAUAAGAAACAGAAGAACAAGGGGAAAACGAUAGAAUGAGGGGAACUGGGAGAGGAGAAGGGAGUGAGGAGUUUUGAGAACAAGGGGAAAGUCGAAAAAAAAAAUAAAACAAGAGGGCAGAAGAAAGGGAGAGAGAAAAGAAAGAGAAAGAGAGAACACGGGGGAAGGGAAGCAGGAGAAAGUGAGGAAGAUCGAACACGCGAAAAAGAGAACACGGGAGAUGAAGAACAGUUGAGAAAGAGAACGCGAGGAGAUGAGAACAGAUAAAAAAGAGAGAAAGAGAGCACAUGGAAAAGAGAAUACGCGAAAAAAGAGAACAGAUAGAAAAGUAUACGAGAGAAAAACGGAACAGAGGAGAAAGAGAACACGAAUAAAAGAGAACAGAUAAAAAAAUAGAACACGAGAGAAAGAAUAGACGGGAAAGAGAGCACACGAAAAAAGAGAACAUAUGGGAAAAAUAACUGAAGAGAAAUAUAACACGAGAGGAAAAACAGAAUGCGAGAACAGUAGAACAGAACACCUACUAGAGUUGAGACUUCUGUGCCUGGAGAGUAUUUAGAGACAGAGAUAGAGGUCAUUCAAGCAGCAUUAAAAGCAAGAGACAGGUACAAAUAGCUUGUACUUCUUGUGGUCACAGAAAGAAAAUAAUUGUGUUAAGACUGAGGCACUAGUUUAAUGACCGUUUUUCUUUUUUCUUUUCUUCGUUUUUGUUUUUCUUUCUUUUUUUUGAAACGCAAGCGACUUGCCGGUGACAAAGAACAAACACAAACAAAAACAAGACAAACGGUGACAGAGAACAAACGCAGUGAAUUCCUUUGAGCCGGAAAGUGUGUCGUUAGUGAUGGUGAUACUUCGCUGAUAAGGCGUUGAGGAUUGGCGUUGAAGAGAAAGAGCGAGGAAGGAGGAAGUAGAAGAAUGGAGAAGAAGAACAACAACAUCAACAACAACAACAACAACAAAAA
rnacentral:lncRNA from 1 species